UGCAACCCAAAGGGGUUUGAAGGAAAGAACCACCACACCACUACUACACACCCCAUCACCUCAUGAGGAUCACCACAUAAAAUCACAAUGUAUUCAAACACAACUUCACAAGUGAACACAUGCAAUCACAAGGUAUGGCAUGGCAAGACAAUAUGACAAGCAAAACAAGGAAGAACAUAAGUGCCACAUGAAAUCAUAGAACCAACAU
rnacentral:lncRNA from 1 species